rnacentral:rRNA from 1 species
AUAUGGUCAAGCGAUGAAGCGCAUACGGUGGAUGCCUAGGCAGCCAGAGGCGAUGAAAGACGUGGCAGCCUGCGAUAAGGCUCGGCGAGGUGGCAAACGACCUGUGACCCGGGCAUUUCUGAAUGGGGAAACCCACCCGACCACUUUCGAGUGGUCGGGUAUCCCACCCUGAAUCCAUAGGGGUGGGAGGCGAACCGGGGGAACUGAAACAUCUCAGUACCCCGAGGAAAAGAAAUCAACCGAGAUUCCCCCAGUAGCGGCGAGCGACCGGGGACCAGCCCUUAAGUCCGACCACUUCGUAGUGGAAUAGUCUGGGAAGGCUAACCAUAGGGAGUGAUAGUCUCGUACACGAAACGAGUGGUCGGAUGAAAUCGAGUAGGUCGGGGCACGAGAAACCUUGACUGAAGACGGGGGGACCAUCCUCCAAGGCUAAAUACUCCUGGCUGACCGAUAGUGAACCAGUACCGUGAGGGAAAGGCGAAAAGAACCCCGGAGAGGGGAGUGAAAUAGAUCCUGAAACCGUAUGCGUACAAGCAGUGGGAGCCCGACCACUCAAUCAUUUUGGCAAGCUUAUGUAUUAUUUUUAUGUCCUGCAAAACAUUGCCUGUCCGACGGAGUUCUACACCGGUUAUAGCGGUGAUCUCCGAAGAAGGCUUGGCGAGCAUAAUGCCGGCAAGCAACAAGCGACACGUGGCAGAACAUGGAGGCUGGUAUAUUACGAAGCUUAUCUCAGUGAACGAGUGGCUCAAGAACGAGAGCAGAAGAUCAAGCGCAAUGGUCGAAUGCGAACGUUGUUGAUGGACCGCAUCACAUCACAGUGUUCAGAGUGAUUGAGUGGUCGGGUGACCGCGUACCUUUUGUAUAAUGGGUCAGCGACUUAUUUUCAGUGGCGAGCUUAACCGAUUAGGGGAGGCGUAGCGAAAGCGAGUCUUAACGGGGCGACCAGUCGCUGGGAAUAGACCCGAAACCGGGCGAUCUAUCCAUGAGCAGGGUGAAGGUUGAGUAACAUCAACUGGAGGCCCGAACCAGGAUCUGUUGAAAAAGAUUUGGAUGACUUGUGGAUCGGAGUGAAAGGCUAAUCAAGCCCGGAGAUAGCUGGUUCUCCUCGAAAGCUAUUUAGGUAGCGCCUCACGUAGCACCGCCGGGGGUAGAGCACUGUUUCGGCUAGGGGGUCAUCCCGACUUACCAACCCGAGGCAAACUCCGAAUACCGGUGAGUGACGCGUGGGAGACACACAGCGGGUGCUAACGUCCGUUGUGAAAAGGGAAACAACCCAGACCGUCAGCUAAGGUCCCGAAAUCCUGGUUAAGUGGGAAACGAUGUGGGAAGGCUCAGACAGCUAGGAGGUUGGCUUAGAAGCAGCCAUCCUUUAAAGAAAGCGUAAUAGCUCACUAGUCGAGUCGGCCUGCGCGGAAGAUGUAACGGGGCUCAAACCAGGUACCGAAGCUACGGGUGCCCGACCACUCUCGAGUGGUCGGGCGCGGUAGAGGAGCGUCGUGUACGCCGAUGAAGGUGGAUCGAGAGGUCUGCUGGAGGUAUCACGAGUGCGAAUGCUGACAUGAG